rnacentral:rRNA from 1 species
ACGCUCGACACCUACUGGAGGCAGCAGUAGGGAAUCUUCCACAAUGGACGCAAGUCUGAUGGAGCAACGCCGCGUGAGUGAAGAAGGUUUUCGGAUCGUAAAGCUCUGUUGUUGGUGAAGAAGGAUAGAGGUAGUAACUGGCCUUUAUUUGACGGUAAUCAACCAGAAAGUCACGGCUAACUACGUGCCAACAGCCGCGGUAAUCUGAGCGGGCUGGCAAGGC